AGAGGGUUCUAUCAUUUCGUCGGAUGGAAAGGAGUGUAUUCUGAAGAUUGGUAAGGUUGUGAUGGCGUCCAGUCAGUAGCUGGGACCGUGGAGAUCAGAACCUGGUGGUGGAAGGGGAGUGUGGGGAGUAAAGGCAGUAGUUUAGGAUCUUGUGAAGUGGCAGUAUCAGGGUCUCAAGGACAAAUCAGAUGCCCAACUAAUCAGAGCAGAGAGAAAUGGGGGAAAGCCUUCUUGUAUCGAGCCAGCCUCUUUGGCUGGUCACUUGGGGUGCCCCCAGGGAGGGAAGAUCUGUCAACCCCUGACCUGCCUCCCAGGCUUAUUCAGUCUGCCUGUCCUGUCCUUUUCCUCCAUAGAUGUGAGAAAUUCACAGCCCAUAAAUUCUGUGGCUGGGAGCAGCCACCGUGGCAGGCGGGUACCUGGCAGGGUGCACAGGCUGCUCCAUUCCCCCCUGGCACAUGCACCUGGUCAAUCCUCUUUUCCUGCUUUGGUCACCUGAGAAUCACAGAGGUCACAUCUCAGCACCAUCCAAAGCCACCCCUGGCAGGCUCAGGGCUCUGGAGCAAGCCCAGCCACCUUGGUUGUGGAGCGGGAAUCUCUAGCAAAGAUGCCUACUGUUUCACCAGUGCAGUGGAAGAGGAGAAAAUGGGCACUUGGCCACUGUCCCGUCAGUUGGGUCAGCAGCCCAAAAUAGUUCUUAUUUCCUUCCCCAUGUUCAAAAUAGAAAUUUCAGGGGGUGUGUACAGGUCUGGGUUUUUUUUUUUUUUUUCCAUAAAUUUUAUAACAUACCUACUAUGUGCUGGAUAACUGCAUAUUUGUUACUUGAUUCUAACUCAGACUUUUGGCCAAUUUCUCUUUCUCGAUUUGGUCUCCUUCCAAUGCUAUGUUCUCCCGACCUCUGAGCUGUUGAGGAGAUCUUCAAAUAAUCUCCUUCUCUUCCUACAAUCUCCACUCUCCCAGGACUGCCCUCUUUGUGAGGCUUCUGGAACUUCACACAUCUGGCCUCAAUUUCACCAGUGCAAGCAUAUCUGCACGCCUCUCCAAUCUUAUCCUCCCAGGUCCCCUUCUUAACGCCAGUGGGUCUGGUCUCCUCUUUCUAGCAAAUAUCUUUUUCUCUCUGUUGCUGGUUGAGCCCUCCCAACAGACAUGUAUCUGGCAGAGUUGGGACAUUGAGUGUGGGGGUUGGGGGGAACAUGUGACAUCUUUGGAAUCUGACGGUCCCAGAGUGGAUUUUUGGAAAUCUAGUGUUGGGUGGUUUUAGUGGGCUGAGACAGAAUUGAAAGGGAAUGUCUUGGUUGGGGUUAUUUGCACAUUUCUUCUCUGCUGGGGCAGAGCAAAUUAAGCUUUGAUUAUCUGAUAGAUUAACUGUAAAGCUACUGCUCUUUAUAAAUUUAACACCUUUUGUUACUUCUGAGUUUUCUUCUAAGCCACUGGACCCAUCCGUAAAAAAAAAAAAAAAAACUGCGUUCCCCCUUACGUGAAACUCAUUGGCUAAAAUCCAAGCUUUCCAACAGGAUACAAAAUUCAGAUCUGCUGUUUCUCAAAAUUAAGUACACCCUUGUUAGCAUGACACUUAAAUUUGAUCAUGCAGUCUCUCUGAUUAAAGCCUUCCACUGUUUAUUUACUGUCUGCAAUAUUAAAUCCAAACCUUCUAGCGUAAACAUAUCUGACAUGUAAACUCACCAAAACUAUUCUCUGGUUAAAAUGUAAGGGCCUUAAUAUAAUAUAAAAUUCUUAUUUUGUCAUUCCUCAAGGUAGAGAUCACAUUUUUUUAAAGCACAGUAUACAAAUCAGCAUGGUAUAGGAAUUAUAAGAAUCAUCAUCAUCAUCAUCAUGAUGUACAUAGCACAUUGCAGAAAUUAACUCAUUUCCUCUCCAUAAAAGUCCUCUGAGAUAUGCAUUAUUACUGUAAAAUUCCAAACCUCUAAUAUAAAAUUCUAAUUGAAAUACAAAUAAAUAAUUCUAAUUGAAAUACAAAAACUAAGUAAUUCAUCUGCAGACUUAUCUAUCAGGAAUAAAAAUCUCAGCAUGUCUCUCACUUAAAACUCUUUAUUGGUGAAAAUUUAAAUUUCUUAGCAAGACGAUUUAAAAACUAGAUUAUGCCCCCUCUUAAUAUAAAGUCUACACUGCUUAACAUAUUUACAAAUUCGACCAUGUGAAUGAUUAAAUCCUUCAAUGUUCCUGCCUUCAGCUCAAAAUCUAAUAUCCUCGGCAUGUUAGAAAAAUCUUAAUACUUCUUAACAUCAAAGUUUAAACUGUUAGCAAGAUGAAUAAAGGUCAUCUCAUAAUUUCUCUAUUUAACACAUAUAAAAAUUCAUUUUUAUUGCCUGUAAAGUUUCAACCACUUAGCAUAAAAUGAAAAUUUUCACCGUGUAAUUUACUUGCCAACUGAUUAAUACGAACCCCCAAAUCUCAUCAGGUCACUCCUAAAACCCUUUAUUGGCUUAAUUCCAAACCUCUUCGCAUGAUAUAAAAUUCUGACCAUGUCAUUCCUCAAAAUAAAAAGGUCACUCUCCCUUGCAAGAUACACGAAUUUGCUCUUAUAACUUCUGCUUAAAGCUUUAUUCUAUCUCUUAAUUACCUAUGAGAUAAGGUCUAAUUAUUUUUAGCAUAGAACAAUACAUUUUACUAUAAAAUUUCUCUGACUACUCUACCCAAGACAAAAUUUCUGCCAUGUUACUGCCUUAAAAAUCUCUUAAUGAGCCAGGCACGGUGACUCACAGCUGUAAUCCCAGCACUUUGGGAGGCCAAGGCAGGUGGAACACUUGAGGUCAAGGGUUCUAGGUCAGCCUGGCCAACAUGGUGAAAUCCUGUUUCUACUAAAAAUACAAAAAUUAGCCGGGAGUAGUGGCUCAUGCCCGUAAUCCUAGCUACUUCUCCUAGGCUGAGGCGGGAGAAUCGCUUGAACCUUGGAGGUUGCAGUGAGCCGAGAUUGCGCCGCUGCACUCCAGCUUGGGCAACAGAGGGAGAUUCCCUCUCAAAAAAAAAACAAGACUCUUAAUGGCUGAAGUCCAAAUUCCUUAGCAUGGCAUAAAAAUGUAAUUCUGUCAUCCCUCAAAAUAGUGUCCAAACUUCUUAGCAUGCUAUGUAAAUUUAAUCAUAUAACUUCUUUUUAUAAAAACAUGCUUUGUCUAUAAAUGACCCGUCUCCUCAGCAUGGAGCCCAGCCUGGGUGCCCUUGUGCCCAGGGGAUACCUCUGCUCACGAGUGGUCUGAUGCUUAUUCAUUAUCUGGUUCAGCAAAUCCAGAUACCUUAACUUAAAAUAUGUUUACAAUCCAGUUUCUCUGGAGACAAAACCCUCAUCAAUUUACUUCUUAAAACGCUUUACUGGCUGACAUCCGAACGCCUCUGCAUGAGAUUUCAACAAUGAGCUCAAUGAGCUCAUCCCCCACCCCUUCCAAACACAGCACUUGAAUGCCUUCAACUCUUUUGUAAAAUCACAUCUCCUUAGCAUGUGAGCAAAAUCUGAUCAUAUCAUCUUUAUCAUAGAGAUCCUGUCUUAUAGCUGUGCCAAAAUGCACUUGUUUGAGCAUGUAACUUCUCAACUUAAAACUUCUCGAGGUUUCUUCAUUGCCUGUAACAUAAAGUCCCAACUACUUAACACAAAAUGCGACAUUUUACCAUGUAGUUUCUCUCAGGAUGAUCUAUUAAAAAACCCCAAAUCUCAUCCUGUUCCUGCUGUAAGCCCUUUAUUGGCUUAAAUCCAAAGUUAUUAACAUGAUAUAAAAAUUUGAUCAUGUCAUCCCUUAAAGUCAAAUUCACACUUCCUAGGACAAUAUAUAAAAUUUGAUCUUAUAACUCCUUUUAAAAUCUUACAGUGUCUCUUAGUUGUAAAUGGAAGAAAAGUCAAAAUUCUUAGCAUAAAAUGUGAAUUUUAUUUUGUAAUUCACUGCAUACUAUUUAUCAAACGCAAAAAACUCACCAGGCCACUCUGUUAGAAAGUUUUAUUGGCUAAAUCAAAUUCCUUGGCAUAUGCAACAGUCUAAUCAUGUUGGAGCCUCAAAAUAAAUUCCAAAUUUCUUUUCAUAUUCGCAAUAUUGAUCAUUUAACUCCUCUGAUUAAAAUCUUUCAACUUUGGUGUCAACAUUAAUCACACCUCCUAGGCAAGCUCUGCAGGUUGAAAUUGGCACUCCCCCAAGAUAGAAAUUCAAAAUGUUUGCGCAUGAUUGUUAAAUUGGUGGCUGUUACUUUUACAAUUUCCAGUGUUUCCUUGUUGCUUGUAAUGUGAAUCCCAAAGCCGUUACCCGUAAAAUAUAUUUUAUCAUGUUUUUCUGCAUACUUAUCUCCCACAAACAAGAAUCUCAUCAUCACAUUUCUUAAAACCCUUUGGCAAAAAUCCAAACUCCUUAGCAUGAUAUAAAACUUUGAUCCUGUCAUCCCUCAAAACAAAGUCCAGAUUUCUUCCCAGGAAACUCAAAUUAUGAAACUCUUGCUUAAAAUCUCAACGUGUUUUCAUCACUACAAAAAGCCUCACCAUUUUAGCAAGGCACCCACUUUUAAUCAUGGCACUCCCAGCUUCAAACCUGUCAAAUUUCAUGUCCUCAACAUAAAAUCUAAAUGCCUGAGCAUGAAAUGAAAAUUGGACCAAUUAUUUCUUACAUUAAAAAUCUUUGGAUUGCUCUUCUCUACUUAAACUAUAAAGCUGAAGUUCUUUUCGCAUGAAACUAGAACUUUUCACCACCUACAGUUUCCAGCUUCCAUUUCCUGUUCCUCACGCUUCUCUCUGAAAAGACUGAGUUUCCCAUUCUCCAGCCUCCAAAUGCAUUUCGAUUUUAUUGUCCCCAAAUGUUUCUUUUCUUUUUUUUGUUUAACCACGUCCCUCUGCCCAUAAUUCAUUAAUUCAUACAGCAGCAUGUCCUGAUUCUUUUUCUGGGCCAGGCACGGUGCUCGAUCCCCAAUGGAAGGAAAUGGAGGCAGACCCAUCUUGCAGGUCAUCACCAGGAAGGAGAUGAGACUCAUGUCCUGGAGACGAAUACCCCACUGGAGGUGAGUGAGGGGCCUUGGAAGCAGGGCCAGGGGGUUCCCUCCACACCUGCUGAGCAUCUGCCUCUCUGGGAGGGCUUUGGGCGUUGUUGGGGCCUGUCGGGCCUCCAAAUUCUGGCUUUAGAUGGGCACUCUGGGAUUCCCAUCUGGCUUCACCUGCCUACCAGCUGGCCUGCCAUAGCCUGGGCCCUGCCUCUUCUCUGCGCUUUGCAGAAAUCAUAUUCUCAGUCCUUCAGCUGUGGCUCAAUACAUGUUGUUCUCAAAUCUCAUGACAGUUUCUUUAAGAAAUAUCUACUGAUUUGAAAAUUCCCGCCUUAUUUGAAAAAAAAAAAAAAAAAAAGAAGCCCAGAAUUUAAUGCUGCUGGUUUGGGGUCACAACUGCCUUUGAGGUCUUCGAAUGGGACCCUCUUCCCCCCAACACUCAAGAGACAGACGCCCCAGCCUCACCACCUUCAGUGCCCAGAGCCUCUGUCGGGUCAGCUCCUUGCUUGCCUCUGAGCCAGUGGCCCAUUGGGUCAGGGCUGCCAACGUGUGUCUAUGAAGGGUUGGGUGUGGGGGGGGCCAUGGGGGGGACAAAUCCCUCAGCAAAUACCUCUCUCUGUCAGCUCGCCUGUACAGUAAAGGAAAUCUGAUUUUAAAAAUAGAGCUUGGAAGAGGAGAUGAGAGGAUAUUUAGGAGCAGAGUUGAGCCUGGGGCGGGGGGCCGGGGUGGGGGAAUUAGGGGAGAGGUGAGGACAGGGGAGGAGGGUGGGAGGCUGGGGGCUGAGGAGGAAGGUGAAGCUGGUGAGGAGUGGGGAGGCUGUGAGGAUGGAAAGGGGAGUAAGGGAGAGGUGGGUUCUCUGGAAUGCUGGCCAUGCCUCCUCUCCUGGCCUCCAGAAACUAGCCCAGUCACACCUGGGGCCCCUGGCUCUCUGGGCUGCCAGGAUGGGUGUCAGGUGAAGAUCCCUGUCCAUCUUGGCCUCCUUGUAGGUGGUGCUCAGAGCUCCUUGGGUUUGAGGGACAUAGCUACUGGGUCUUAGGAGGGAAGUGGCCUCAAAAUGAAUACCCCCAGCAGCUCCCUCUGCUGCCUGGCCUGCUGUGGCCUCCUGUGGAUGGAAGGCACAGCGUCACAGUGAGGGUGGACAUGCAGGGACCCUGGGAGGGUUUGUUAUUAUUUAUCGAUUAUUAUUAUUAUUUAUUUUGUUGAACUCGUGUCAAGGUUAAGAUGUGUCCAUGGCAGCUUGAGGCUUGGAAGCCUUCCUGGUUUCCCUGGUAUGAACAAGUGUCAAGGAUGGCUCACUUGAUGGGACUUGGUGAGGAGGCUGGUGAGAUUCCUGGGGGCUUCCUGAGGGCCUCAUAAGGAGUUUGGGUUGGGUCCUGGGGAUCCCAGUGGACUGUGGAGUCUGCAGGGGCUGCUGGCCUGGCAUAGCUUAUGUUGGAGUCCCUCCCCCCGGGACCCUUCAAUCUUGCACACCCCUGACUUGUGGCUAAAGACGACUUGAGCCUUACAGGGUGGGAGGCCGUUGGCAUCUCGGCCCAGGGCAGCCCAGUCUCGGACAUUCCCUCUCUUCCCCUAUGGUCUGGACCGAGGUCCUUGAAUGCCAGGCCCCAUGGGCCUCGGACUUCAUCGUAGUGAUGGGGAAACUGAGUCUUUGGAAGGAGGAACAGGGAGUUACAGUAGAACUACGCUGUCCCCAGGGCGUGUCUAAAUCCCAAACCACCCAGCAGGGUGGGGGUCUUCUGUAGAGGGACCCCCAGCCCCUCACCUUGCUAAGCCACUGAGGUGACAGGGAGUGCCUGGGCCCAGCAGCGCUCCUGCUGCUGUGUCCCUGCCCCCUCUAUGCUUGACUGGCAGCUCCAGGGGGCAGCUGUAUCACUCUGCCCAGAAUAACCCUGGGAAGGGGCGUGUGCCGCCUGCGGGAGGGGCUGUGCGAGGGGUCACGGGUGAGCUUGUCCUUCUUGUCUUGCCCAAAUCAGCGGGGCCAAUCAGCUGCUCCUGAGGCUGAUCUUGCCUUUCAAGGCAAGUGGGCAGGGACAGGUCUGCACCGGCCUCCUAGCCUAGAUGGGCUCUGACUGUCAACAUGACCUUCCUCUCCCAGGUCCUCAGUUUCCCCAUGUCUGCAGGGAGGGUUUCGGUGGUGGUCUUCUCACUGUGCUCCUGUAGCUCUGGGGUUCCUAAGAGGUGCCUGCGGGGGUCCCUGGGAAACAGUAAUGAGAGGAGGUGGCUGGCCCAACAGGUGGAGCUCAGGGACACCCAUUGCUGCCUUAGUUCCACCAGCUGCUCCUAUAAAUUGGGGUCGUCGUAUUAUUUCAUUUAAACAGAGGUUGCCAGAUCUGAGCAAUGGUUGAAAGCACAGACUAUGUGGUCUCUUCUAAUGGCUUGUCUUGAUUUUCCAACCUGGGCUGGGAGGGGUGUAAGAGUGGAACCUGCUCAUCUCUGGUGGGCUCUCUACUCUCACCCAGUGGGCUGCAUGGACAAGCCCAGGUGGCUGCAGGCCUAGGAGUGGAGCUGUUCUUAGAGUAGGAAGGUGAAGACUUUGAGGCAAACAAGGAGGGCCCCACCUCAGGGCCUGGUGGAACUAGAAUGAGGGCAGAAGGCAGAUGAGAGGCUGGCUAACCUUGCAGAACCUCAGUUUCUAAGGGGAUGAUUAGAAAGGUAGGAGCACCUCCUUCCAGGGAAGACGGGUGUGUGAAGCCCUUUGUAAACUGUAAAUGCUAUGGACAAGUCAGGGAUAGCUACCGUCAUUAGGAUUCUUACGACUGUUACUUCCAGAACACCCACUGUAAUUGUAUGGUCAAGAUUUGGACAGCAUUUCAUGCAUGGUGUCAACUUUAAUUUUCCCGUUAACCCCACAAGGGGACGAUGCCCUGCUUGGAGAGUAAGUAAACUAGAGUCCAGAGGGGUGAAGUGGCUCCUCUGGAACCAUAAUUAUCGGCGACAAUGGUGCACAGACCCAGCAUACAGGACCUUCCCCGGGAGGGGCAGGCUGAUGACUGGAGUUGGUGAGGGGUACGUGCGGAAGACGGAAUGUGACCCAGAAAGGGACGACUAGAAUGUAUUUAUUAAAUACAUUCAAAUGAGUCUCUGAGUACCUGCUCUGUGUCAGGCGUGAUUCUAGCCACUCACCCCUAAAACUGACUUUGCUCCUAACGAGUUGGGGGAUGUGCUGCCGUCUUACAGAGUUAAACUGGGAUUCGGAGGGCGAGGUGCUGGCACAAGGCCCCCGAGAGACAGAGGCAGGGUUUAAAGCCAGGUUUCUCCUGGGCAGGAGCAGAUGCCCAGAGUGGGGUUGGCAGUUGCCAUUUGGGAAACUGUUGGGACCUUCAGAGCCAGAGAUGCCAUCUUCAUUCCAUGGUGUUGAUACUGCCAGCCUCGUGGCCUGAGGGGCAUCCAGACCACAAGAGUGGGGGUCUCAGUGUCUGCCUCCAUCUCCCCCAAAGGUGCUUGCUGUCAUUCCCAACUCAUUCUAGCUUAUUUGGUGUUCGAGGAGGGACAGGACAGCUGGCCCAGGACCUGCUAAUUAUAGCUGCUCAAGUAUUUGAAUAGAGGCCUUGAGUACACACCACCAUGUCAUGGUUUUUUCUUACAGACGAAUGAACACUUUAACCCUUGUCCUGAGUGCCAGGCCAUCCCAUUCACUGCCCCACCUCCCCUGCCUGCCCACCCGAUCCCUGGGGGAGGUCGACAUGGGACCUCUGCCCCACAUCUUACCUUGGCUGCAAGCGUUCAAGUGGAUCUCCUCCCGUCCUGUGCCACUCGAUCCUCGCUGCUUGCUAAAAAGUUAUUGAAUACAUUUGUUUCUUUAAUUGUGAAAGUCCAGUCUUUUUGACAUGCGUACAUUUUCUACAGUAGCAACCACAGUGCACACACACAGUCUUCCAGCCUGCUCUGCUCGCGUGCCUUUCUGUUGUGAGCUUUUUUCCACGUGGCUACGUUGGGGACCUCCGUGAUGCUUCCUGAGUGCUUACUAUGCGCCAAGCGCUGCUUUCACCAUUUUACAGGUUUUCACUCUUUCAAUCGUUCUAAGAAGCUGCGAGGGCCUUCCUUUUAUUAUCCCCAUUUUUCAGAAGAGGAAUCCGAGGCCUUGGGACCUACACCCACCCUCACACCCGGGCCCACGCUCACUUUAAUAACCCGGACUGGGCAAGGACUAAGUCCAGCCAGAGCGUCAGCCUCGCUGGCGUCCUCACUGGCCAUGGCCCUGCAGCCUUGCUCUUCAGUUCCUGGAAGCCUCCUGCCCUUGGUGGACAACCAUUUUGCUCUCUAGCAAAUGGAUAGAAAAGUUUAUGUGAGUCUGGCUGGGCGGGGUGGCUCACACCUGUAAUGCAGCUCGUUGGGUGGCUGAGGCAGGCAGAGCAUUUGAGGUCAGGAGUUCAAGACCAGCCUGGCUGACACCGUGAAACCUUGUCUCUACUAAAAAUACAAAAAUUAGCUGGGUGUGGUGGCGUGCGCCUGUAAUCCCAGCUACUUGGGAGGCUGAGGUAGGAGAAUUACUUGAAUCUGAGAGAUGGAGGCUGCAGUGAGCCGAGAUCAUGCCACUGCACUCCAACCUGGGCGACAGAGUGAAACUCCGUCUCAAAAAAAAAAAAAAAAAGAAAAAAAAAGAAAAGAAAAAAACGUGUAUUUGAGUCUGGGCCCCGGCCUCUGUUGGACUUUGAGUAAAUCUUAAUUUAGCACCCUGAGCUGCAACUCCUUUCUCCUGACCCUGCCACCUGCAUGCGCCAUUCAAGUGGCUGCGCCCCAGGCUGCUCAUCCCUUCCGCCCUGGGUCCCCAUACACAGCAACCCCAUGGGGUUUUUGUCCUGCUCCUUCAUAUUAAUCUGCAUUGGUGACUCCUUUGUCCCAUCUUCCCUCAGCACACAGUAGGGCUGCUGGCAGCAGGUGAGGCCUGGGGCAAGGGCUCAGAGAGGCAAGAUGCCAUUUGGCCAUGCCACCGAGUGAGCAGUUUCUCUUCUUGCCCUCCCAGGUGGCGUGAAGGGGAGAUGGCUGCUUUCUCCUGGGAAGGGAGCAGAUGCCUGGCCCAGGACCAAAUCAAAAGGUCUGAAAAAUGAUAUUCAUUGUCCUAAUGUGUAAAUUUCGACAAUUUGCAAAUUUGUAGAUUCUUUAGAAUAGAACUAACUCAAGCCCUUCAUUCUGCAGCUGAGGCUCACUGCCCCCAGUGGGCAGUGGGUCCAGGGGGUUUCUGAGGACAGGGCAUGACCCAGCCCUGCUGCCCCCAAGAUGGCACCUGGCUUGGAGGGGUGAGGGGCCCUGUUAGUCUGACUUUGAAGAAGACCAGCCUUCCAGACUCGCUUGGUGCCCUGACAGCAGCUUGUGUUUCUUCCUUCAAGAGUCUGCUUAGAGAUAAUAAAGAUCAACACUAUUCCUUAUAACAACACCUCAGUAUCCUGCGAGCUGUACACACCAGAGUUUAUUUAACCACCUUGCUGCUGGCAUGAAAGCCUCAGGAGCCCUGGGCUCCCCCAGUGUUGCCUGGGUCUGACUUUGCCUCAGUGAAAACUGCCUCGAAUUCUUUCUUGCACCGAUGGGCAGAUGGGCAGUGUCGGAGGAUCGUGUCAUCUGUCCCGUGGCGCUGGUUGGCUUGGUCAAGUCAGUGUUCAAACUAUCUCCUGCUCUUUCAAGGGGAUCUGGGGCUCUAGAAGAUUAGAGGACUUGGAGAGGUUAGUGACUUGCUCGAGGUCGGCUAGGAAGCAAGACCCAGGAUUCCAACUCAGGUCUGUGUGAUUCCUCUGCAAAAUGGAGAGGUGGAAGGAUGGAUGUCAGGUCUGAUGGAUGGAUGGAUGCCUACAUCAAGAUACAUGCAUAGAUGGAGAGAUGGCUGGCUACCUCAUGAAUGCUGGACUGUUGUGAGAAUCAAACGAGAUAAUGUAUGCUGAGGCAUGCUGUGAACACUACGUGCUGGGUACAGGAGAAUGGAGGCUCCAGAGUGAAAUUAAUGACACUUUGUCGAUGAAGAUCUUGAUUGUGACCUCUGUGGAAAAUGAGCCAUGAACCAACCAAUGAUAAGUCUACUUUUCUUCCACGUAACAACCACAGGAUAGAUGACAUUCAUUUUCUAAGAAACAAAAUCUUGGCAGUUAGAUCCGUGGGGUAAAGAAUAUAGAUACUAAUCCUGAGAGAAUAUGGAAGACACUGUCAGUGUUGGAAGAUGGUGGUUUUAUCACUUUUCAUUGCACUGUCUUUAAAACAUGGGCAAAUUGACUAAAAGAAGACUACAGAAGAAAUAAUGGUGAUUGUGAAUUUGAAUGAAAACCAUGUAGCUGGUCUUAUUAUUCUCUAAUCAUGAAGACCAUUAUUGUUAUUUGUGGACUAAGGAGCAGAAAGACUGAUAGUGGACAUAGGCCAGCUGAUUUAAUAAUUUAAGAAAGAACUGUUAUCCUGAGUAAGGAGCAUAGAGACAAAUAUAAAAUGAACGCACUCUACCUGAUUUAAUUAUAGUCUUCUGGUGAAGAUCUUGCUGUUAUCUCUGUGAAUCAGGAGAGAAGAGAUUGAUAAGGAAUAGACGAGAUUGGAUUUGGUCAUUUCCCCAAGGUGAAGAGCAUGGCGAUUUCUUCUGUGGUAAGGAGCAAUAAUGAAGACCAUGGUUGAUUUAAUCAGUCUCUGCUGAUGAAGAUCUUGGCUGUUACCUUUGUGUGUAAGGAAGCUAAAGACUUAAAAUGAAUGCGCAAUGAUUCAAUUAUUCUCCAGCGAGGAAGAUCAUGGUUGUUGUCUGUUUGAGUAAUGAGUGUAGAAACCUAUAAUGGAGGCGUGAUGGCUGAUGCAAUCAUUUUCCACUGAUGAAGGUUUUGAUGGCCACCUGUAAUGAACAGCCCCAUCUGAUUUAAUCACUGUGCAAUGACCGUGAACUGUACAGUUACCUCCGUGUGUCACAGGAAGACUCUUUUGACUUAAGCACCCUUCCAUGGUCAUGAGGUUUCUGGUUGCCUCUGUGUGUUAGAAGCUUGGAGACCAAUGCCUUCUGCUGUGAUCGCGUUCUCCACAGUUGCCUCUGGGUAGGAGCCUGGACACUAAUAGAAAAUGGAUGCACUUGAGCCGACCUAAGCAUUCAUGGUCAUGAGAUUUGUGGUUGCCACUGUUGGUUAGGAGCAUAGAGAUCAGUAAUGGACACACCUGGGCUGGCAGAACAUCUUGCCUUGAUCUGGAGCCCCAUGUCUGCCCCUCUGUAGAGGUGCACAUGGGCCAAUGAUGGAUGCAAUGAGCUGAUCAUUUUGCUGUGAUCAAGGCUAUGUUGCCUCUGUGUUAGGCCAAUGGUUGAUGUUCAUGGGUGAUUGAUCAUCCUGUAGCGACGGUGGUAUUGACUGUUCCCCAGAGGACAAGGAGUGUGUUCUUAUAAUGGACAUCAUGAUUGGGAUUGUCUUUAUUAAACUUUGUCAGGAGAGUAAAGAUCAAUGUGGCCACAUGUUGUGGCUCAUGCCUGUAAUCCCAACACUGUAAUCCCAGCACUGUAAUCCCAGCCUGUAAUCCCAGGCUGAGGUGGGCGGAUCACCUGAGGUUGGGAGUUCGAGACCAGCCUGACCAACAUGGAGAAACCCCGUCUCUACUAAAAAUACAAAAUUAGCCGGGCAUGGUGGCGCAUGUCUUUAAUUCCAGCUACUCAGGAGGCUGAGGCAGGAGAAACGCUUGAACCCGAGAGGCGGAGGUUGCAGUGAGCUGAGAUUGCGCCAUUGCACUCCAGCCUGGGCAACAAGAGUGAAACUCCAUCUCAAAAGAAAAAAAAAAGAAAACAAAACAAAAAAAGAAAAAACCAAUGUUCCAAUAGUUUCCCAAAUCAUGCUGAUGCUGCCUCCUGAGAAAUAUUUUCAGAAUCACUGAGAAAAAUGUAUGAAAUAGUUAAUGUCCUUGCUCUGUGUCAGUGGUGGAGGCUGUCUGCAGUAGGAGCAUGGAGACCAACAAUGGAUGCUCUUAAACUGAUUUAAGCACGCUUCCAUGGUCAGAAGCCUUAUGGUUGCCACAGGGUAUUAGGAGCAUGGAGACCAAUAAUGGAUGUCCUUGUUCUGAUUUGAGGAUGCCUCCAAGGUCACAUACUCUGUUUGCACCACGCUUAGGAAGGAGCGUGAAGACCAAGGGGAAUGAUAAACACAGAUCAUGGAGGACUGUUUUAUCUGUUUGUGAUCUGCCGUCCUCUGUGAGCCUCAGGAUGGAUGUUUGCCAGCCGAUUCCAUGGUUACAAGCUCUAUAGCUGCAUCUAUGUGUUAGGAGCAUGAAGACCAAUAAUGGAUGCACUGAGCUGAUUAUGAAUUUAGCCCUGAUGAAGACUUGUGUUGCUGUCAUGAUAUGAAAGAUUCCAGUAAUGAACGCACUUGAGUUGAUUCAAGCACGCUUCCAUGGUCAUGAGCUCUGUGGUUGCAUCUGUGUGUUAGGAGCAUGCAGACCAAUAGUGAUAAUCUCGAGGUGAUUUAUGCAUUCUUCCAUGGCCACCAGCCUUAUGAUUGCAUCUGUGCGUCACAGCUUAGAGAUCAAUAAUGGAUGCAACAAGCUCUUUGAAUCAUUCUGUUGGGAUCAAGAUUGUUGUGUUCCCUCUGUUUGGAAAGAGACCAAGAAUGGAUACGCUCAGGUGAUUUAAGCAGUCUUCCAUGGCCACGAGCUCUGUGGUUGCCUCUGUAUAUUAAGAGCACAGAGAUUAAAAAUGGGUGCACUUGAGCCGAUUGAAACAUUCCUCCUUGCAUCUUUCUUCUGUGAUUGCAUCUAUUUGUUAGUAGCAUAGAGACCAAUAAUAGAUGGCUUGUGCUGAUGGAAGGAUUCCUCCCUGGUGACAUGCUGUGUCUGCCUCUUGAUUGGGAGCACGCAGACCUACAAUGAUGCACUUUUUAUGAUUUGAGAAUUCCUUCAUGGUCACGUGCUCUGUUUUUAUCAUGGUUGGGAGCCUGCAGAGCAAUAAGGGACAUGCCUUUGCUGAUUUGAGGAUUCCUCUGAGGUUGGGAGCUAAGUUUGCAUCAUGCUUAGAAAGGAGUGUGCAGACCUGUAAUGAUUGCACUUUGCUGAUUGAAGGAUUCCUUCAAGUCCAUGUGCUCCACUUGCACCAUUUUUAGGAUGGAGCCUGGAGACCUAUAAUGAACAACUUGUGCUGUGUUAAGGAUUCCUCCAUGAUCACGCGCCCCAUUUGUACACCAUGCUUGGGAAGGUGCAUGCAGACCAAUAAUGGACGUACUUGUGAUGAUUUAAAGAUGCCUCCAAGGUCACGUGCUCUGUUUGCACCAUGCUUAGGAAGGAGCGUACAGACCAAAAAUGGAUGAAUUGUGCACCUUGAAAAGUUCUUCCAUGGUCACCUGAGGCAUCUGCGUCAUGAUUAGGCUCCGGAUGACUAAUAAUGGACGUACUUGUUCUGAUUUGAGGACUUCUUCAUGGUCACAUGUUCUGUUUGCA
rnacentral:lncRNA from 1 species